rnacentral:tRNA from 1 species
GCCAUUGUUUGCUCAGUGGUUAGAGCACUGGCCUGAGCACCAGAAUCUCAGGUUCGAUUACUGGUCAAGGGCA